rnacentral:rRNA from 1 species
CCUACGGGAGGCAGCAGUGAGGAAUAUUGGUCAAUGGACGAGAGUCUGAACCAGCCACGUAGCGUGAAGGAUGACUGCCCUAUGGGUUGUAAACUUCUUUUAUAUGGGAAUAAAAUGUUCCACGUGUGGGAUUUUGUAUGUACCAUAUGAAUAAGGAUCGGCUAACUCCGUGCCAGCAGCCGCGGUAAUACGGAGGGUCCGAGCGUUAUCCGGAUUUAUUGGGUUUAAAGGGAGCGUAGGUGGAUUGUUAAGUCAGUUGUGAAAGUUUGCGGCUCAACCGUAAAAUUGCAGUUGAAACUGGCAGUCUGGAGUACAGUAGAGGUGGGCGGAAUUCGAGGUGUAGCGGUGAAAUGCUUAGAUAUCACGAAGAACUCCGAUUGCGAAGGCAGCUCACUGGACUGCAACUGACACUGAGGCGCGAAAGUGUGGGUAUCAAACAGGAUUAGAUACCCGGGUAGUC